rnacentral:lncRNA from 1 species
UUUUUCCCUCUAAUUUUUCUAUUUAACCUCCAAUAGAUCUUGUUUGUAGCUCUAAACAUCUUUUUAGUGAAAUGGAUCCCAACAAUAACCCUUUUAACACUCAAAAUUCUACUAAUUACCCUUUCAACUAUCCAAAUCCCAACAACUAUAGAUUUCAAAAUCAAUCUUCAAACUAACAAGGUCCUCAAAAUAUAUCAAAUUAUGGAUUUCCUCCCGAUUUCAUCAGGUUAUCCAAAUUAUCUAGUCAAAUACAUAUGAGUAAAGUUCAGAAUGUUUUGUAAUUAAAUAGAUUGUUUGUGAGUUUAGUCUAUUGUACUAAUUAAGCUAUGUGUGUUGUGUGCUUAGGGUAUUGUAUUACAUUUUAAGUUUUUUUGUAAUUUUAUUUGUUUUAAUAAUGACUAUCCCUAUAUCUCGUUGUUAUUACUGGUAAGAAAAUAAAUAAAUUAAGAAUAUAAAAUUAGAAAGAAAAUUCAAAUAAGUUAUUAAAUUAGAAGUAAAAAAUUAGAAGUAAAAAAUUAAAUGAUUUAAACUCUUAAUUAUUUUAAUUUAAUUUCAAUCGAUAACUAUUAUUAAUAUAUAAUCAUAAAAACAAAAACAUAAAAAAAAAUAAGAAUAUGAAAUAAAAAUGGGUGUUGCUUUUGUAUCAUGCUCUGUUUUUUAUUUUGUAUUUAUUGAUACUUUUUCAUAUGUGUGAGAGAGAGAGAGAAGAGAAAGAGAGAGGAGAGAUGAGAGAGAGAGAGAGAGAGAGAGAGAGAGAGAGAGAGAGGAGAGAGAGAGAAGAGAGAGAGAGAGAGAGAGAGAGAGAGACGAGAGAGAGAGAGAGAGAGAGAGAGAGAGAGAGAGAAGAGAGAGAGAGAGAGAGAGAGAGAGAGAAGAGAGAGAGAGAGAAGAGGAGAGAAGAGAGAGCAGAGAGAGCAGGAGAGAGAGAAGAGAGAGAGAGAGAGAGAGAGGAGAGAGAGAGAGAGAGAGAGAGAGAGAGAGAGAGGGAGGGAGGGAGGGAGGGAGGGAAGGGAGGGAGAGGAGGAGGGGAGGAGGAGAGAGGGAGAGAGAGAGAGAUAGAUAGAGAGAAUAAGAGAAGAGAUGAGAGAGGGAGGGAGGGAGAGGGGAGAGAGAGAGAGAGAGAGAGAAAGAGAGAGAGAAGAGAGAGAGAGAGAGAGAAAUGGAAUGUAAAACAGAUAUGAAGUACCAUAUCCCAAAAUUUAUUACAUUAAUAGUUUAAACUUAAAUAAUGAAAAAAUUCUUAAUAUUUUGACGCGUGUGCAAACUUAUAAAAGCACACAAACGCGUUUCAACGCCAGUAUUCUAUAACAUGUUUGUUUAAAUUUAUUUAAAAAUUGUUAAAUUAGAUUUUUGAAAAUUUGCAUGUGUAGGCAUUAGUGUAAAAAGAAGAAUAUAAUUUGAGAAUUUACACCUGUUAUACUAAAAACGGGUGUAAAUAACAAACACAGUGGAAUUUUUAUAAAUAAAAUCUCAUUCUAAGUUUUAACGUAUAACAAUGUGUAACAAUAGACACCCUAUUUUUGAAAAACGGGUGUAAAAUUGAAAGGUUAUUUUUCAUCAAACUCUUUUACUCCUGUUAUAUUUAAAUAUGGUGUAAAUUUUAAAAGCAAAAAAAAAUUAUGUGCUUUGAUAACUACUUUUUCUAUUCUCAUUUGUUUAAUUAUAAUUUUAUUAAUAAAAUUUUAAUUGGUAAUAAUAUGAACCCUUUAAUUAUAAAAUGGGUGUACAUUUUUAACUUUCAACUCUCACACGAAACCCACAUGAACAUAUUUUACAUUGUUCUAUUUAUAAAAAUAAUUAACUAAUGUUGUUAUCUCUAUGAAAAAUAAUGUUAAAAUAUUGUGAGGUAAAAAUUAUUUUGAUGAAAUAUGAAGAGUUUCUAACCGUUAAUGUAUGGUUUAAACAUGUUUAGCAUUGAAGGUUGGUGAUUUAGUCAAUACCUCAAGUAAUAUAUUUUGACACUC